GUGCACGUGCUGACUAAUAAAGCCUGUCUUAGAUAUAGUAUUAGGAUUAGGUAAAUAGUUAUAAGAUCACUAACAUUAGUUUUAAGGUGUGUGUGUGACUAAAAAAA